GUUGAAUAUGUCUCAAAAAAUAUAAAUUGACGGAUAAAAGUGUAAAAUACGCACUAUACACAAAAAGGACUCAAAAUAUGCAUUUAUAUGCAAAACAAAAUUUCAAAACUAACUUUUUUAAAGCAUGAAACGUCUCUGUUUUGUACUCUGCUAUUUUUGUGACUGUGCAAAACAAAUAUGCAAAUGCUACAAGUCCUCUGUCCUACACGUGAUCCUUAAACUAUUCCGUAAUCACAGGAAAAAUAUAGAUAAGUGCUUAAGUCUA